AACUGCAUGGUGUAAUGGUUUGAGCAUUGGACUAGGACACUUGGAAGACCAGGGUUCGAAUCCCAGUUCAGCCA